GGUGAGGUGUCCGAGUGGCUGAAGGAGCACGCCUGGAAAGUGUGUAUACGUUAAUAGCGUAUCGAGGGUUCGAAUCCCUCUCUCACCGCCA
rnacentral:tRNA from 25 species